rnacentral:rRNA from 1 species
CCUACGGGAGGCAGCAGUGGGGGAUAUUGCACAAUGGGGGCAACCCUGAUGCAGCGACGCCGCGUGAGCGAUGGAGUACUUCGGUAUGUAAAGCUCUGUCAGCAGGGAAGAGAAUGACGGUACCUGACCAAGAAGCCCCGGCUAAAUACGUGCCAGCAGCCGCGGUAAUACGUAUGGGGCAAGCGUUAUCCGGAUUUACUGGGUGUAAAGGGAGCGUAGGCGGCAGGGCAAGCCUGAUGUGAAAGCCCGGGGCGCAACCCCGGGACUGCAUUGGGAACUGCCCCGCUCGAGUGCGGGAGGGGCAGGCGGAAUUCCUAGUGUAGCGGUGAAAUGCGUAGAUAUUAGGAGGAAAACCAGUGGCGAAGGCGGCCUGCUGGACGGUGUACUGACGCUGAGGCUCGAAAGCGUGGGGAGCAAACAGGAUUAGAUACCCGAGUAGUC